GAUGAACGCUGGCGGCGUGCCUAAUACAUGCAAGUCGAGCGAACGGACGAGAAGCUUGCUUUUCUGAUGUUAGCGGCGGACGGGUGAGUAACACGUGGAUAACCCACCUAUAAGACUGGGAUAACUUCGGGAAACCGGAGCUAAUACCGGAUAAUAUUUUGAACCGCAUGGUUCAUAAGUGAAAGACGGUCUUGCUGUCACUUAUAGAUGGAUCCGCGCUGCAUUAGCUAGUUGGUAAGGUAACGGCUUACCAAGGCAACGAUGCAUAGCCGACCUGAGAGGGUGAUCGGCCACACUGGAACUGAGACACGGUCCAGACUCCUACGGGAGGCAGCAGUAGGGAAUCUUCCGCAAUGGGCGAAAGCCUGACGGAGCAACGCCGCGUGAGUGAUGAAGGUCUUCGGAUCGUAAAACUCUGUUAUUAGGGAAGAACAUAUGUGUAAGUAACUGUGCACAUCUUGACGGUACCUAAUCAGAAAGCCACGGCUAACUACGUG
rnacentral:rRNA from 1 species